rnacentral:rRNA from 1 species
CAGUCGCCGCGGUAAUACGUAGGUGGCGAGCGUUGUCCGGAAUUAUUGGGCGUAAAGGGAGCGCAGGCGGACAUAUAAGUCCAUCUUAAAAGUGCGGGGCUCAACCCCGUGAGGGGAUGGAAACUGUAUGCCUUGAGUGCAGGAGAGGAAAGCGGAAUUCCCAGUGUAGCGGUGAAAUGCGUAGAUAUUGGGAGGAACACCAGUGGCGAAAGCGGCUCUCUGGCUUGUAACUGACGCUGAGGCUCGAAAGCGUGGGGCGCAAACAGGAUUAGAUACCCCCGUAGUCCCUGUCUCUUAUACC